rnacentral:lncRNA from 1 species
UAAUACGAAAUCUAAAACCUUCAAUUAAUCUUUGGACGGGCGAUCUCUCUAAAAAAAGCGACAAGUUGACUUUCCAAUAACUUAGAACAACAGCUCACUCAAUCAGCCCCCCAAAUGGCUGACCAAACCAAACUCCUCCUUAUCAAAACCCAUCUCCUUCAACCUUCUCAUCUCCAAUCCUCCCGAUGAACGCCACAGCCGCAGGCCCCACUGCCGGCGGCGGAGGAUUCCUCNNNNNNNNNUCUAACACUAACUUCGCAGAACAUCGGCGGAUUCGGAUAUGGAAUCGGCGUGUCAAUCGGCAUCCUCCUCCUAAUCACCACCAUCACUCUCGCCUCCUACUUCUGCACCCGCGGCGGCCACCAGCCCUCCUCCACCUCCGUCGCCCCCUCAUCGGACCACUACCGACGACACCACGUGGUGGUGGAGAUCGCGGCGGCGGAGGAAGCUGGUUUAGACGAGGCGACGCUGAAGAGCUACCCGAAGCUGGUGUACUCGGAGGGCAAGAAGCGGCAGAAGAUCAUCAAGGAGGACGCUCCGACGGCAGCGUCGUGCUGCUCCAUCUGCCUUGCGGAUUACAAGAGCGCCGACGUCCUCCGGCUGGUGCCGGACAGUCGCCACCACUUUCCCGACUGCGGCCACCUCUUCCACGUCAAGUGUGUGGACCCCUGGCUACGUAAGCAUCCCACGUGUCCUGUGUGUAGAACUUCGCCGUUGCCUUCUCCGCUUUCUACUCCUCUUGCGGAGGUGGUCCCGCUCGCUUCCAGGCCACGGGGAUGACGGAGCUAAUUGGAGAUCGGAGCAGAUGAAGAAGAUGUAGGUUAAUAUUAAUUCCACGUAAUUAUCAUAUUAAUUACUCCCUCAAAAGAUUCCUUUUUCUUUUUGUUUUUUACUCUUUGUUUCUUUGAAGAGGGAUCAUUGUAAUGUUACAUAAACAAAUGUUUGGAGCAUAUGAUCAAAUGUAGAUUAGAUUUUAUUCCAUGGAAAUUCAUUUUAACCUUGACGAUCGGUUUGCAAUGGUGAUCACAUUUUCACCAAUUGUUUCAAAUUUUGUAACAAAUAAUCACCAAAUACAACAAGAUGUUACGCUUCCUUAAUAUUGCAUUAUAUAUUUCGCCAAUUAAAUGUUCAAUUUAGCAAGCACCGAUAUGUGGAUUAGGGGUGAGCAAUCCAACUAGGAGAUAGUAGUCGUUGGCAAAACUUCUCGAGCCAG